rnacentral:rRNA from 1 species
CCUACGGUGUGCAGCAGUGAGGAAUAUUGGUCAAUUGACGCAAGUCUGAACCCUCCAAGUAGCGUGCAGGAUGACGGCCCUCCGGGUUGUAACCUGCUUUUAGUUGGGAAUAAAAGGGGUCUCGUGAGCCCCGUAUUGUAUGUUCCAUCAGAAAAAGGCCCGGAUAAUUACGUGCCCGCAGCCGCGGGAAUACGGAAGGCUCGGGCGAUCUCCGGUUUUAUUGGGUGUAAAGGGAGCGUAGGCCAGUUUGUAAGACGGAUGUGAAAGUCCGCGGGUCAAACUCGGAAUUGGAGUUGAAACUGGAGGCCUUAGGUGCACACAGGAAUGGCGGAAUUCAUGGUGUAGCGGUGAAAUGCUGAGAUAUCAUGAAGAACUCCGAUCGCGAAGGCAAGUGUCCGGGGUGCAACUGACGCUGAUGCUCGAAAGUGCGGGUAUCAAACAGGAUUAGAGACCCUUGUAGUC